rnacentral:rRNA from 1 species
CACUGAUCCGAUCGAGUGGCGGACGGGUGAGUAACGCGUGGGUAACCUGCCUCAUACAGGGGAAUAACAGUUGGAAACGGAUGCUAAAACCGGAUAGGUAGCAGACAAGCAUUUGACUGCUAUUAAAGUGGCUUUGGCCAUGAACAUGGAUGGACCUGCGGUGCAUUAGCUGGUUGGUGAGGUAACGGCCCACCAAGGCGACGAUGCAUAGCCGGCCUGAGAGGGCGGACGGCCACAUUGGGACUGAGACACGGCCCAAACUCC